CUUUGGGCCAUCAUUUGCAUAAUAGAUGGUUCUCCAUCCCCUUACUCUCAAUCUGAAGGUGUCUUUAGGUCUAAAAUGGGUCUCUUGUAAACAGCAUAUAGAUGGAUCUUGUUUUCUCAUCUGUUCUGAUACGCUAUGUCUUUUGACUGGAGCAUUUAGUGCACUGAUGUAUAGAGUGAGUACUGAAAGAUAGGAAUUUAUUGCCAUUGUGUUGCCAGUAGAGUUGGAGUUUCUGGUGGUGGUCUCUAGUCCUUUCUAGUCCUUGUUGCUUUUGGUCUUUUUUGUUUUGUUUCAUCUUUUCUUCCCUUAAAGAGUCCCCCUUAAAAUUUCUUGCGUGGCUCUUUUUAGUGGUGGCAACCUCCUUUAGUUUUUGUUUGUCUAGGAAAGUUUUUCUCUCUUCUAUUUUGAAUGACAGUCUUCCUAGAUAAAGAAUUCUUGGCUGCAUUUUUUUUUCCUAUUCAGCACAUUGAAUGCAUCCUGCCACCCCUUUCUGGCCUGCCAAGUUUCUGUGGAUAGGUCUGCUGCAAACCUGAUCUGUCUUCCCUUAUAGGUUAAGGACUUUUUUCCCUUGCUGCUUUCAUGAUUCUCUCCUUGCCUGAGUAUUUUUUGAAUUUGACUAUUAUAUGCCUUGUUGAUGGUCAAUUUUUGUUGAAUCUAAUGGGAGUUCUUUGUGCUUCUUGGAUUUUUGGUGUCUGUGUCUUUCCCCAGAUUAGGAGAGUUUUCCACUGUAAUUUGUUCAUGUAAACCUUCUACCCCUUUUUCUCUCUCCUCAUCUUCUCAGACUCCAUGAUCUGGAUGUUGUUCCUUUUUAAUAAGUCACCGAGUUUUCUAAUUCUUGUACUCUUUUUCCUUAGUUUCCCCCUUUUCCCCUGCUUCAUUAUCCUCCCUAAUUUUGUCUUCUAUGUCAUUGGUUUGCUGCUCUGCUUCUUCCAUCCUUGCCGUGAGACAUCCAUUCAAGAUUGCAUCUCAGUUAUAGCAUUUUUAGUUUCAUUUUGACUGGGUUUUACUUCCUUUGUGUCCACAGAAAGGGAUUCUAUGCUUUUUUCAACCCCAGCUAGUAUUCUUAAUAUCAUGAUUCUAAAUUCUAGUUCAGACAUCUUGCUUAUAUCUUUGUUGAUUAAGCCCCUGGCUUUCAUUUUUUCCUGUUCUUUCUUUUGGGCUGAAUUUGAGGAAGGAAAAUAAUAAAAAUGAAAAAUUAAUUAAAAACAGCACAAAUAAUCAAAUGAAGCUAGAUCCUAGGUAUGUUUGAGUCUGGUUGUUGAAAGCUUGACAGAAUGGAUUAAAAAAGGAACAAAAGUUUAAGAAUUAAAAAAUGUAUUCAAAUAUACAUGUGUGUGUGUAUAUAUAUAGACACACACACAAUAAAAUAGAAGAAAGUGAAAUGAAGUAAAAUAGAAUAAAAAAUAAGUUUACAAAAAAUUAAAAAGAAUUUUAAAAAAAGGAAAAUAAAAAUUUUUUCUCCUUCUGUAUCCAAGAAAAGGAUACAGGAGAAAAAGAGAAAGCUAAUUUAGAGGAAAGCAAAACAGAACAAACAAAAUGAAUAGAUGAACCAGCAAGCAAACAGAAUGAAACCCAAAUGAAGUUACAUCCAGUUUUCCCUAGAAUUCAAACUAUGAAGCACUCUAUAGUCCAUACAAUAAACAGGUGGAGAGACAUGUGGUGGUCCUCUAGGGCACGUGCUUGGAGGGCACAGUUGCGCGAGGCUUGGCAUAAGGGCUCCAUUCUCCACUAGGUGGAGCUGCAAAGCUUACUGGGGCGAGUUGGUGUGGCACCAUACACGUGUAUGUGCAUGUGCAGGAGAGGUGAAAAUGGCCUCACCCAGCUUCCUAGUUUCUGGCACAGGAACUCUGCACUCUCACCCACCCACAAUUAAGCACCCCUUCUUUGUCUCAGGCUUCCAUCUAGUUCCCACUUCUAGACUGUGUCCAAGCCAUCAGCCUGCCAGGUGGCACCUCCGUCCCAAAUUUUGUCUCAGAUGGGGCUGUUUCCAAACCCCUCACUUCUGAGAACCCUGUAGCAUGCACCUGCUCCAACCCUUUGGGAGAGGGUCUCACUGAGCAAUGGCCAGGUGGCAGCUGCCCCAGAAAAAAAUUGUGCAAUCGUGCAGCAACAAAGGUUCAGAGAUUAUGGCAAAUCACAACACACAGCCAAUGCCAGGUUUCACUGCACUCUGGUGUCUUUGUUCUAAUACCAGCAAAUGUGGCCGUUCUCCAGGGUCCACUGGGACUUUUGCGUGUGAGGAGGUCGUAUGGCCUCUACCAAAUGCCCUCUAAGCAGGGGAACCGCUUCUCCCCAUGUGGCCCACAGAUCCUUCGGACCUCACUGCCUGCUCCUAGAGAUUUGAAUACUUAUUAAAUUCUUAAGCAAAGCACCAAGAAUGUGCCUCUCCACUUCAUCAAACUUCAAAUGCCUCAUUAGAAGGACGAAGAGAGAAUUUCUUUACUUGCAGAAUUAAUGUUGGCAGAGAUGAUUAAUUUACCUCAGUUAUGGAGAGUUCAGCCUUUACAUGACUUGAUAAAAUACUUUGUUGUUACUACCUUUUGUUAUGAUUUAUUAGCCCUCCUGCUACUAGAAGUGAUUGAAACCCAUCAUUUUUUGGGAUGCUUUGUCAAAGGUAAGUUAGAUUUAAUAAUAACUCAAUGCUAGCAAGAAUUUAAACAAAAUUCUGCAUUAAUUCCCUUGAUUACUGAUUGUCAUGAGCACUUUUCGUAAGUGAACCAAUUAUCAGAAGCAGUUCUUGACCUUUAGUGCAUGGUGUGUUUCCCCUCCUCCCUAUUGCUCUGCUUUUUGUUUGUUCCUAGAUAUCCCUAAGACCUACUUCCCCAUCUCUUUGGUCUCUUGGACAAAGUUAUCUUGGCUAUUUUCUUCUUGGGCCUUCAACUGUUGCAGCUAAUCUUUAAUGUUUUGUCAGUGUCCGCAAAAAUGAAUGCAAAACCAGUCAUUUCUUGAGGGAAGGUUCGUUUUUAAAACUUAAUAUUGCUAUAGUAGAAUCACUAGCUCUAUGAGUAAUUCCUGUCUUUUCCAGCAUCAAUGCUCUUCUGUUUUUUAGUUUUUUAUUUAUUUUAUUUUUUUUAACGUUUAUUUGAGAGAGAGAAAGAGAAAGAGAGAACCUGAGCAGGGGACGGGCAGAGAGGGAGAGAGAAUCCCAAGCAGGCUCUACGCUGUCAGUACAGAACUCAAUGGGGGGUUCGAUCUCAUGAGCCAUGAGAUCAUGAGCUGAAAUCAAGAAUUGGACACUUAACCAACUGAGUCACCCACGUGCCCCUGCUCUUCCGGUUCUUUAAUAGCUUCAUGCUUGAAAGUGUUCCAGCUGAAUGAGAACCUUUUAACUGGCUGAAAAAAAGGCUUAGUUCAGUUACAGGAACGCUGACACAUUGUUCCUUAACAUAUGGAACUAUCUGGGUAGGUUUUGCAGACUGGAGGUGUCACACCUUCAAUCCGUAAGUGAUGUGAUUUUUGUGUGUAUUUGUAUGUGUGUUUGCACCUUCAAAUAAAAGGCAGAAACAAAACCAUACUGGGCCUGCCGUUUGAAGCACUCUGCACUUGCCGGGUGAUUCUGCUGCUGCUUUAUUGGGCCAGCUACUAAAGGAACUCCAACACAACAUGAAUACAGAAUACCUCAAAAAGGAGCACGAAGGGGAGUAGAAUAUGCCACUCCCAAAAUAUGCCUCUUUGGCAUAAGGAUUUUUAAGCAACAACAGACAGGAAAAGCAGAAGGUACCUUUGGUAAUGGAAUAAGCAAAAUCUUCUUUUGUAACAGUGCCUCCCUCUAUGUAUUAGGAAAAGAGGAAAGACUUCCAAUCACAAACUCAUAUCAGUGCAAACGAAGCUCAAUUUAAAUCUGCAUAUCAGCCUUACUAUGCUUUUCCUGGUAACCUCCCAUAACUGGUCUUCCCGCCUCCAACAUAUUUCUCAUGUGGGAAAAAAAGUAUGGAAGGUGAUAGCCUAGGCCAUCUCAGGGAAUUAGUUUUCCUGGGUUUCUCCCAUGUUUACAAGAGCUAUACAUGUUAUUAAACGGUGUGGUUUUCUCCUGUUAAUCUGUCUUUUAUUACAGGGAUGGGAUCCCACCCAAGAACCUAGAAUGGGAAAGGGAAAAUUAUUUUUCCUCCCCUACAGUUUGGCUACUCAUGAUGGGACUUGCUGAGAUACCACACUCCCUCUGGAGCCUGCAGAUAAGUAUCCUGAAAAACUGGCAGGAGCUGGCAGAGGCUUUAAGGCAACCACAAAUGCCUGAGGAAGUCACGCAUAUCCCACCCGGAAGGCUGGGGGGGUGCAGUUUGCUAGCUUGUGUUUGCCCUCAGCUUGCCUUAUGCUACCUCAUCAGGUCUGUCUUCAGAGUUGUCCGUGGAUAUAAUGCAGGUACACAACUUUCAUUCUACCUGGUUUAUUAGACAAAUGAGUUCAUGUGAUCUCUUACAAAACUUGCCAGCAAGAAAAAUAACAGGAUAGCUUUAAUGCCUCAUGAAAUUUUUAGAAGUAACCUCGAUAUGAUCAAGAAGAAGUGAAUUAAGUAGAUAUAAGUGGGAUUAAAAUGUAUACAUGAAAUUUUCAACAAUGAUGACAAUAUGUCUACUUUAAAAUAGCUUUCAAAAUAUUUUUGGUAAUUUUACACCCUAAAAUUUUCAUAAGUGAAAUGAUAGAAAUUUAUUAGAAUACCUAAAUUUCUAAAUAUGAUAACAUACUGAAACAUUACUUAAUGUAGCUUUAUCUACUUUUGGCUUGUAGAGAAACUAAACAUAUUUGGGUCUGUUAGUAAACAUCUUGUACCACAUUUAAAAAUUGUACUAUGAAGCAGCAUAUGCUUCCAUAAAUUAUGAAAUGUAUCCAUAAAUUUGCCAAUACACAGAAUGUUGGUAUGUAAGCAGUUGAUAACUGCUGCUUCUCAGUAGAAAUUAGGGUUUCAGAGGGUUGGGAAUACUAGUUAACAUAUGUAAUUAAACCUACCAGAAAUAGGAAAGCAUCUCUGUAUCCAAGGGAAAUGUGAGAAAUAAACCCAUCGACCCAAUCAAAAGAGGGCCACAGAGACUUGGAGCUCAGUGAAGCCAGGCUUUACCCAACGUUCUUGCAAGAGCGGGUGUCUGAUGGAUAGGCACACUCAGGGCAGUUUCAGCAGAUAAUUUAUCUCCUAGCGCGUAAGUCCUUCCCCUGGUUCCUCAGUGGCUGAGUACCACAGGGGUUGCAGCCUUACCUGGACGUGGCCUAUGCCCAUGAAAGGCAAGAAGUAGUCUGAUCGGAAUAAAUGUACGUUCCUCGAGGUGACGCAGAGACUUUCAGCCCCUCCUCUCUCUGUUCUUUGGUGCAUGCCUAUUGCAAAGCCCUGGGGUAUUAGCCCACGAAACGGGGAGGGGAAGAAGAACCAGGAAGUUAAGGUUUGGGUCUCCAUUGUCAGGAGGAAGGUUCCUAUAUGUUUCCAAUACGUUGUAAACCUAUUGUUAAUCAGCACAGCUUUUAUUUGGUAUUUCUGAAAAUAAAUCAUCUCCCUUCUCACAGAGUCAGAUGUGCUUUGGGUUAAGAAAAGGUAUGAGGUACGAAGAUGCAUUUCUGUUACAGGAAAGAGAAGUUUUGUUCGAAAAGUAGAAUGAGUUGUUUCAGAAGAGGAAAGGGGACAAUAAGGGACAAAUUAACUGCAUAUAGAAAGUCGCAAAGAGAAAACCUUGUGUAAUUAGGCUGGCUAAAAGGGAAUGAAUUCAUAAAUGUUUAAAGAUAAAUUUUAAUAUCAUUUACCUGAAUAUAUUCAUGUAAAACUAAACAUUUCCUUUCAUCUGCUGAAAGUGUAACUGAACCAACAGGAGUUGGCUCCAUGGUGAGUCACAGAUAAAAGCUACACCGGGUGGAGUUGUUGGACAAAGUAAAAUUGAUUUGCAGCGGUGACUCCCCAAGCAAGGGUGGGUGGGUUCCUUUUAUUUAGGGUUAGGAUGGAUAUUUAGGUAGGGAGGCCUUGUCACUGUAGAGGCGGAUAUAAGAUAGCACACGCACGAGGAAAGAUGCCCACACUACAUUGUAUAUUAUGUAAAGGAGGCUUGAGAUCCUCCUUAGGCAAAGAUUUUGGUUUUAUGAUGAGGUAAAGAUAGUUGUCAGUCACUCUCGAGGUUGCGCCUUGGUCCAUCUGCACAGGUGAGAGGGGUUUAGCUCCAUCUGGUCUGGGUGGUCUGGACCAGCUGGAGGUCUCCUCAGGGCAGUAGCAAUCUAGGACUCUGUCUCUGGGGUGGUUUCAUUUUCCAUUUGCCAGAGUUAAGAGACAAACUGAAAAGAACAGCUCAAGGAACCAUGUGGGACAAAGGUUGGUGAGUACAAGCAGGUGGGUCGUCAAGGUCAGGGCUUGGGGUCUAGCUGGUGACUAAAGGACCAAAUUCUCUUUGUCUGCUCCUGAUGAAAUACCGCAAAAUGUUUUUCUUUCCCUUUUAAGUAGUUUGACCAGAAAUCGAAAGAUUGUGUUUUACUGAAAUAAUUUCCUGUGUUAUCUUUAUCAUCAGGUCUUUGAUUACUUAAGAAAACUGAGUCUUCUCAAUAUUAAGAGCCAGUUUUGCUCACAACGAUGUCACCUUCUGUAUUUGCCUUUAAAAUCUUUUGUCACUUUGGUUAAAGAGGUGAAAUCUAGUUUCAUAAAGAUCUGUCAUCCUAGUCAAGUGUUCAAAACUAAUGGUAUUUUUGAAGAGCUGAAAAUCAAAUUCUAAAUGAAGUCUUUCUGACCUGGAACUAACUAGGGAUAUUCCAGAGGGCCCCUGGAACAUCUCAAGAUUUGUCUCUCUGUUAAAGGAGCUAUCAAACUAAUAUUCGGCUUUUGUUAAAUUACACGGGAAGCACUCACAAAUAACUGAUGCUAAACUUUGUUCAGGUUGUAUUUGUACGGAUACAUGUUACUAACAUAAAUGUUCCAGAAAUUGUAUGAAAUUCCUAGAAGUCUGCUAUGUCCUCGUAUAAUGUUACUACUUGUAAUCUAGUUAUUAUCUUAAAACAGUAUGUCACAGAAAUAACCAAAUUUUCUUGUCAAUUGCAUUAUAGUGAACACUCAUUCGAUCUUUAUUCGUGGCCAUUUUUAAAGUGUUUCACCAUUAUUAAUAGAGGCUACUGUUCUGCUUUUGCAAAAGUGCUUCAUCUUCAAGGAGAGUCCUGGAAAGGAUUCUGACGAGUACAAAUUUCCGGUAACUUCCAAAUCAUACCACUGAACUGAGCAAGAACUUAUAAAACUCUAAGGAAAAAGUGGAAUUAUAAAAUUGCUAAUACAAGGUGAAGAUCAACAAGAAUUACAUGAGACUGAACGAAAAGGAUGGUUUUAAUUUUUACGACUAUUUGAAAUAUUAUUUCCAGAUUUAAGGAGACUUUUUCUUUUCUCCUAAGCUACAGUAACUUGAUGAAGUAUACCUUAAUGAAUAAGAUGAAAUAAUUCCUUUUUCUCCCUGAUUCCUCCAAAACUUGGAAACUAAUAGUGACCACUCUUAUUUUCAUGGUAAUAGCUAUUGCUAUUAAUGCCACAGAAAUGGCCACAAAAGCUCAUGUUUACAGUCUUCAUGCCUGCCCCUUUGCAGACCAGAGUUUACCUCAACCCCUGGCGGCAUCAGAGACAUUCAGACUGCAAACGAUACUUUAAAUCCGACCUGUAGAAAUCAUAUGAAGGGCUGCCCCCAGGACACAGGUCUAGUGUAGAAUUUGCUCCAACCAUUAACCUUUUUUUCCCAUAGAAGUGCUUCUUAUUUAAAUACCUGCUUGCACCCCAGAGGCCUAAAAUGAGACACAACUUUUUCACCAACCUGAACAAUUCUCCAGAUCGACGGAAGUGCUAUUUAUAGCAGGCACAAUGGCUUCAAAGUUACUUCCUGGAGUUGGAACACUGGCGGAGGAGGCCCUCGGGGCCCGCAGUCCCAACGGAGCCAACAAGGUGCACUCCAUGGCAUCUGGAGGUGGUGUUUCUUCUUUUUUUGGUAUUUAUUUAUUGUAAAAGAGAGAAAGCACAUAAGCAGGGGAAAGGCAGAGAGGGAGGGAGAGAACCCAAAGCUGGCUCCGCACUGUCGGGGCUCAAAUGCACUAACCUGAGAUUGUGACCUGAGCCGAAACCAAGAGUCAGAUACUUCACCGACUGAGCCACCCAGGUGCCCUGGAGGUGGUGUUUCUACUGCUGAUCGGCAGGUGACUGGGCUGGAGAGGGAGGUCGUGACUGCUGCACGGAGGGGACUAAACCCAUACAAUAUGCUAGCCCCAAAUGCAGUUUCAGGCACCAAGGAAAGCCCUAAUUUAGUCGCAUCUGUCACCAACAAGUGAAUAGUGGGCUGCAUCUGAGAAGAGGACAACAGUGCCAUCAUCUGGUUCUGGCUCACCAAAGGCGAGGCCCGGCGAUGCCCUGGCUAUGGAACCCAUUACAAGCAUUAACUUACUCCAAAGGUGCUGUAAAGUUUCUUCUUUCCAAUAAAGACUCGCCCUUGCACUGGCUCCUUCUCUCAUAAAAAAAAAAAAAAAAAAAAAAAAAAAAAAGAGCAAUCAAUCAACUCAGCUUCUGGACUGUGAAACGAAUCUGAAGCUUCAAAGGCAGCCCCAAAAGGGAGCAGACUAUGGCACCCCAAAAAUGUGCCUCUUUGGCAGAAGGAUUACUUUGAGCUUAUUAUUUUUAAGAAAUAGGAGAUAUGGCAAAAGCUCUGGAAAUCUAGUAAAAGCUACUCUUGUAUAAGGGAAAUCUCCGUUUGUGAGGGUAUCCAGAAAGAAAAAGUGACUACGUCAUCACAACCUUACUCUUGUUUACUGUGCUUUGCCUGAUAGCCACCUAUGGAGAGGUUCUUCCUCCUCCAACAUCUUUCUUAGGUCUUUAGCUGAAGAAGGUACUCAAGGUGAGAGCUUGGCCUGUUUGGGAAGUGGUUCAGUUCUUCUGGAGACCUCUAAUGUGUACAGGAGGCAUACAUACUAUUAAACUCCUGGGCUUUUUCCUGUUAA